rnacentral:rRNA from 1 species
CUACGGGAGGCUGCAGUGGGGAAUAUUGCACAAUGGGCGCAAGCCUGAUGCAGCCAUGCCGCGUGUGUGAAGAAGGCCUCCGGGUUGUAAAGCACUUUCAGCGGGGAGGAAGGCGGUGAGGUUAAUAACCUCAUCGAUUGACGUUACCCGCAGAAGAAGCACCGGCUAACUCCGUGCCAGCAGCCGCGGUAAUACGGAGGGUGCAAGCGUUAAUCGGAAUUACUGGGCGUAAAGCGCACGCAGGCGGUCUGUCAAGUCGGAUGUGAAAUCCCCGGGCUCAACCUGGGAACUGCAUUCGAAACUGGCAGGCUAGAGUCUUGUAGAGGGGGGUAGAAUUCCAGGUGUAGCGGUGAAAUGCGUAGAGAUCUGGAGGAAUACCGGUGGCGAAGGCGGCCCCCUGGACAAAGACUGACGCUCAGGUGCGAAAGCGUGGGGAGCAAACAGGAUUAGAUACCCCGGUAGUC